rnacentral:rRNA from 1 species
GACGAACGCUGGCGGCGUGCUUAACACAUGCAAGUCGAACGGACAGACCCUGCUUUUGUUGGUUGCUCGAGUGGCGAACGGGUGAGUAUCACGUGAGUAACCUCCCCUUAACUUUGGGAUAACUUCUGGAAACUGGGGCUAAUACCGGGUAUAAGCUCCUGCUGCAUGGUGGGGGUUAGAAAGUUUCGGCGGUUGGGGCUGGACUCGCGGCUUCCCCGCUUGUUGGUGUGGUAGGGGCUUACCAAGGCUUUGACGGGUAGCCGGCCUGAGAGGUUUACCGGCGUCAAGGGGACUGAGGGACGCAGCAGAAGGGAACGGGAGGCAGUAGUGGGAAAUAUUGCGCAAUGGGCGGACGCGUGAGGCAAAAACGUCGCGUGCGGGAUGACGGCUUACGGGUUGUAAACAGCUGUCGCCGGUGACGAAGCGGGCGUGACGGUAAUGGGUAAAGAAGCACCGGCUAACUACGUG